UACAGAGGUCUCAAGCGUUGUUCGGAUUCAUUGGGCGUAAAGGGUGCGUAGGUGGCGCCGUAAGUCAGGUGUGAAAUUUCGGAGCUUAACUCCGAAACUGCAUUUGAUACUGCGGUGCUUGAGGACUGGAGAGGAGACUGGAAUUUACGGUGUAGCAGUGAAAUGCGUAGAUAUCGGGAGGAACACCAGUGGCGAAGGCGACUUCCUGGCCUGUUCUUGACGCUGAGGCGCGAAAGCUAGGGUAGCAAACGGG
rnacentral:rRNA from 1 species